ensembl:rRNA 5S_rRNA 5S ribosomal RNA
GUCUACGACCAUACCACCCUGAACACGCCCGACCUUGGAACCUAAGUAGGGUCGGACCUGGUCAAUACGUGGAUGGGAGUGCUAAGCU